UAGUAAAAUAGGGUGUGUGAGAGAGCUAUACUAACUCAACACAAACCUACUAGUGAGUGAGAGAAAGACAGAGACAUUACUUUUGGUAGUAGCAACAAGCAAAGAGAGGAAAGAAAGAAAGAGAGAGAAUCUUCAUUCAAUUUUUUUCUGCUCAUUUUCAGUGUACGCCUUUAUCGUUUCUCUUUCCCUAACAUUGGAGUCUGCUUUACACCACACUCCACAACAAAGAUCGUCUGCAUUCCCUUUCCCUUCUCUUUUCACCCCUUUUUUCUCUCUCUCUCUCGGUCUCUCUCUCUCUCUCUCUCUCUCUCUCUCUCUCUCUUUUUUCUGGUGGGGGCACCUCAUUUUGUUUUUGACUUCAUAAUACUACUCCUCUUCACUAAAAAAAGGUGCUUUCUUUUUUGCAUCUUCUCUUAACUCCUUUCUUAAACUGUGCAAUUAUUGUGGUUUUGGCCAUUGCUUUCACUUCAUUGCCUAAAGAGAGUCCCCAGCUCAGCUCAGAGAUAGAAAGAGAAGGAAAAAAGGGUUAUUAUGGCAGGAGGAGGAGCUCCAGCUAAAGCAGAUGAGCCACAGCCACAUCCACCAAAGGAUCAGUUACCAAAUAUUUCUUACUGCAUUACUAGUCCUCCUCCAUGGCCUGAGGCCAUACUUCUUGGUUUUCAACAUUUUCUUGUGAUGCUUGGCACAACUGUGUUGAUUCCCACUGCUCUUGUUCCCCAGAUGGGAGGUGGCAAUAAUGAGAAGGCAAGAGUUAUCGAAACCCUGCUUUUUGUAGCCGGUAUUAACACAUUGUUGCAAACAAUGUUUGGAACUCGACUGCCUGCAGUAAUUGGAGGGUCUUACACCUUUGUUCCAACCACAAUCUCAAUUAUCCUUGCUGGCCGAUUCAGUGAUGAACCAGAUCCUAUAGAGAAAUUCAAGAGGAUAAUGAGAUCAAUCCAAGGUGCUCUUAUUGUUGCUUCAACUCUUCAAAUAGUACUGGGCUUCAGUGGUCUCUGGCGUAAUGUUGCAAGGUUCUUAAGUCCACUUUCGUCAGUUCCUUUGGUAUCUCUUGUUGGUUUUGGGCUGUAUGAGUUAGGGUUCCCUGGGGUUGCUAAAUGUGUAGAGAUCGGCCUGCCUCAGCUUAUAUUGCUAGUAUUUGUUUCACAGUAUGUGCCCCAUGUGCUACAUUCGGGGAAACAUAUCUUCGACCGUUUUGCCGUGUUAUUUACAAUUGUAAUUGUGUGGAUAUAUGCUCAUCUACUUACUGUUGGAGGGGCCUAUAAUGAUGCUCCACAUAAAACUCAGAUAUCAUGCCGCACUGAUCGUGCUGGACUUAUUGAUGCUGCUCCUUGGAUAAGAAUUCCAUAUCCCUUUCAAUGGGGAGCACCUUCAUUUGAUGCAGGUGAAGCCUUUGCCAUGAUGAUGGCAUCUUUUGUUUCUCUUGUAGAGUCCAGUGGAGCUUUCAUUGCUGUAUAUAGGUAUGCAAGUGCAACACCAUUGCCACCAUCUAUUCUCAGUCGGGGUAUUGGUUGGCAGGGAGUUGGCAUUCUGUUAUCAGGAUUAUUUGGAACAGUCAAUGGAUCCUCUGUAUCUGUAGAAAAUGCAGGUCUUUUGGCUUUGACACGUGUUGGAAGUAGAAGGGUGGUGCAAAUCUCUGCCGGAUUUAUGAUUUUCUUUUCAAUUCUUGGAAAAUUUGGAGCAGUUUUUGCCUCUAUCCCACCUCCCAUUAUUGCUGCCUUGUACUGCUUGUUCUUUGCUUAUGUUGGUGCUGGUGGUCUUAGUUUUCUUCAGUUCUGCAACCUCAACAGUUUUAGAACAAAGUUCAUUUUAGGCUUCUCAAUCUUCAUAGGCUUGUCUGUGCCACAGUACUUCAACGAGUACACAGCAAUUAAUGGCUAUGGUCCAGUUCACACAGGCGCAAGAUGGAGAACUAUUCAAGACCUUUUGGUGUAGCAAAGUCUUGAUCAGGCAUUAGAAGAUGAAAAGCCAGUUUCUAUAAAUGAAAUCGAGUGGACUAAGAUCCAAAGGAGGGCUGUGAGCACGAUUCGAUUAGCCCUUGCUCCUGAUAUAAAACAUGCAUUGAAAGAGACAACACUGAAGGCCUUGUGGGAGAAGCUCGAGAAUAUCGAUACGUCAAAGUCGCUAACCAAUUGCCUUUGUUUGAAAAUGGAGUUGUAUCAACUCAAAAUGGAGAUGGAAGGAGAUCUGCAUGACCACAUCAACAAAGAUGACGUUGACUCUCAAUCGCGUCCACAACGAGAUAUGAAUAACAUUCAAUGUUACUAUUGUGGUGAGAAUGAUCAUGUGCAAGUGAGGUGUAAACAAAUAAAGGAGGACUUGAAAAAAUUAAGAGAUAUGAACAAAGAUGACACUAACUCUCAAGCUAAUGUAGUAAAAAGUGUGGAAGAUGAAGAUGAUAUGUUUUUUGCAACAAAUGACGAGGUUGCUAAAACAAAAUGAGUGAUGGAUUCUCCUGCCUCAAAGCACAUUUGCUGAGAUCGAGAGAUGUUUGAUACUUUGAAAACUGAUGGAGAAUUCGGUCAUUUCAAGUUAGGGAAUGGUGGAAAAAUGAAGAUUGAAGGCGUAGGGAGUGUGAGAAUGAAGUUCCAUGAUGGUGUUAUUUGAACUCUCUCAAAUGUGAGGUUUGUACCUUCUGCUGUUGUCAAUAUGAUUUUUAUGGGGGAGAUGACAUCACAAGGGUACACAUGUUGGUCCAAAGUAGGAUGCAAAGUGUACAAGGAGAGACACUUGGUAUUGCGAGGACAAAAAAAUAAAGUUCAAUGAUAUAAUCAACGUCCCAUUCCAAUCAAAACCAUUUGUUGCGGGUGUUGUGGCAUAUUUUCUAGACAACACUUUGUUUAAGAGAGCAGCUGAUAUUAGGAAGG